UGGGGAAUUGUUCGCAAUGGGCGCAAGCCUGACGACGCAACGCCGCGUGGAGGAUGAAGGUCUUCGGAUCGUAAACUCCUGUUGCCCGGGACGAAUAGCUUCGACCUAACACGUCGGAGUAUGACGGUACCGGGUGAGGAAGCCCCGGCUAACUCUGUGCCAGCAGCCGCGGUAAUACAGAGGGGGCAAGCGUUGUUCGGAAUUACUGGGCGUAAAGGGCGCGUAGGCGGCCUGUUAAGUCGAACGUGAAAUCCCUGGGCUCAACCCAGGAACUGCGUCCGAUACUGGCUGGCUUGAAUCCGGGAGAGGGAUGCGGAAUUCCAGGUGUAGCGGUGAAAUGCGUAGAUAUCUGGAGGAACACCGGUGGCGAAGGCGGCAUCCUGGACCGGUAUUGACGCUGAGGCGCGAAAGCCAGGGGAGCAAACGGGAUUAGAUACCCACGUAGUCCCUGAGCGGGCUGGCAAGGCGCAU
rnacentral:rRNA from 1 species